CAUCUAUGAUCCUGGGCAUCGGAAGGGGGCACAGCACGAAAAGCAAUAAUGCUAAUAAUACUUUGCACUUUUACAGCACCUGUCGCCAGAGGAAGGGAAAGUAUUUCGUAGUGGGAACCUGCCCAGGAUGGGGAAACUGAGACACCAAGAGGCCGCGAGGCUCGCACCACCCUGCCCUGCUGGAAGGGAGCUGGGGAGCCCAGCCAGGCCUCGCAGUGCCCCACACCACGAGCCCCCAGCCCCACGCACGCUUCCACGCACGAGGAGCUCCCUUUUCGUGUAAUAAGCGCUGGUGGAUGAGUUGCUUCAGGUUACGUGAGCAGAGCUCUCAAGCAACGUUUGAAGUCUGGGUUACGAUGCCGUUUUGGCUGUACCUGACAUCUCCUUCCGCUCCAGCAGCUCACAUUGACGCAGCAAAUUCAUCUCCAAGACCUCAGGUCUGAAAAGAAAACCCUUCUCCAAGAAACCUCGGCGUCUGAAGAGCGGGAGGUCACAGGAGGCACGUCCCUCACCGCUCUGCUCUCCCCGCUGGGCAUCGCCUGGGCAUCCCCAUGGCACUGCUCUCAGCUGCUCUGGGGCUGGAAAGGUCCCACUGCUGCUGGGUGGCCUAACACUGGAAGAAUUUGCUCUUUUGAACAUACAAACCUUCAUGCUGGUAUAACGAUCUCCGCCAAAGAGGAACACAAACGGGGCGGAGAGCAGAGUGGAUCCAGUGUGAUGUCUGCCCAGGGAAGCAGCGGGGAAACAAAGAACAAACGUGGCUGGUGUCGGAAAAAUUCCACCAUGCCAAGGUGGGCAGGAGGAGCAGCACCUGUCCUUCACAGCAUCGCUGGUGGAUGUUCACCGGUGUCAGCAGAUCCACGUCACGCCUACGGCUCUGUCCACGCUUACACGUGGUGCUGGUGGCACCGUCAUCCAGCCCAGCUCCUGCUGAGUGCCGGUGGAAUUCCCAAUAUGGGCACUGAGGGGGAUCAGAGGAAGGGGACUGAGGCCAGCUGGGACACGGGAGCCACAUAUUUCAUGGGGCAGAGCUGCGGUGACAGCACACAUGGCACAUGACAGUGCCUGGGAGCCAUAGGCAAGAGAGAGGAGACCGGGGCUGUUGGUGGCAGAGGAGGGACUGGGGCAGAGGCAGGUGGAACACGUGGCUGUACAGGUAAAGGGAAUCUGCAGAUCCCUCGUGCAACACACAAUGCUGUGGUGGAAGGGAGCGAUUUCUUCCCCUGGCGAGGAAGAGGUAAAUGCCUUGAGGAUUGGAGUGUACUCUGUGGAGUGC